ensembl:lncRNA
AGGCAGAAGGAGUUACUGGAGCAGCAGGAGCUGGCGGCUCUGCAGGAGGAGGAGAAUCGGAUCUGUCGCGAGGACGAGAGGAAGAGGAGGGAGGAGGAGGAGCGAAGGCAGAAGGAGCAGCGCUGGAAGGACAUGCAGGAUCAGCUGGACAGAGAGAGGGAGGAGGCGUGCCUGCGGGCCCAGAAGGAGGCGGAGAGGAAGCGGCAGGAGAGAGAGCUGCUCCACAUUCAGGAGGAGCAGGAGAGACUGCAGAGGAAGAAGGUGUGUGUGUGUGUGUGUGUGUGUGUGUGUGUGUGUGUGUGUGUGUGUGUGUGUGUGUGUGUGUGUGUGUGUGUGUGUGUGUGUGUGUGUGUGUGUGUGUGUGUGUGUGAGAGACUUCAGAGGAAGGUGCUCAGCAAAGUGUGUGUGUGUGUGUUUGAGAGACAUCUGAGGGAGAGGGGUGUGUGUGUGUGUGUGUGUGUGUGUUUAUGUUUGUAUGUGUGAGAACAUGCCUCAUAGUGUUUGUGUGUGUGUGUAUGUGUGUGUGUGUGUGUGUGUGUUUAUGUUUGUAUGUGUGAGAACAUGCCUCAUAGUGAUUGUGUGUGUGUGUAUGUGUGUGUGUGUGUGUGCGUGUGUGUGUGUGAGCUCUUGCAUCAUAGUGUAGGUGUAUGAGUGUGUGUGUUUUUGUGUGUGGUGAGAUUAUAAAAAAAUCUAUUGUAAUGCCCUUUCAUUUAAGAGCAAUACUUUUGAGUGAACAAACUCAUGAUCACGGGAGAGCAUGAGAUUGCAGUCGUGUUCUGUAAGAAGAAAAGGUCAAUCAUGCAUGCAUAAAACACAAAUUUCCACCUAUAAGCUUAACUGUGUGCGGAGUUUGGAAUUUGAAUAGUAUGCAAUAUACUGGUCCCAAGAAGCCUCACUUCUGGAUCACCGUUUGAAACAAAUAGGAUUCACAAUAGGAUAUGGGAUCAGUGAGGAGGAAUGAAUAUAUGGAUUCUAACUGAUGUCUCCAUGAGCACACAGAGGAUCGAAGAAAUCAUGAAGAGGACCAGAAAGACAGAGGGAGAGCUGCAGUCUCCUGCCCCAGUGUCGGAUGCCAGGGGCCCGCCCGGCCUCAUUGGGGAGGACGAGGCCCCUCGUCCCGCUGAAGCCCCCCACAUCAUGCUGGGGCCCCUGGAGACCAAGAGCUGCCUGGACGAGCUGUCCGACGGCGUGCAGUCCAUGGACGUCAGCCCUGUGUCCCGGGACGACCAGGCCAGCGCCCAGGACUUCUCCCCGGUCACCGAGGGGGGCGGCGAUGUCCCCUACGGCCUGGAGCACAUGUCGGAGCUCUCCCUGCACGGGCCCCCCGGGGACACCCCCGCCUACCCCAAGCUGCAUGCGGGCAGUGGGGCCGCGCUGGGCGACCUCAACAAGAACCUGCUGAUCCAGGCCUACAGCGCCGCCUCCGAGUCCUCCCAGCUCAUCCACAGCCUUGGGCCGGGGAAGCUAGACGUCCUGUAGCCAGGCCAAUGUUACCCACGGGGGUGUGGGGGGGCCCAGAAGCAGUCGGACCGGACUCUCUGUCAUCAUCAUCCUUCGCGGACCAGAACCCGCCCCCCGCCUCAACCCGCACAACCUCCAGCCCGCACCGGGAGCCGGAGACGCCCCCCUCCCCCACCCCUCUCCCCCUGUGCCUUCCGCAGGGAGCCGUCGCUAUAUCCUUGGCCCCUCCUCCAUGUAACCCCCCCCCCCCUCCCCCACACACACACAUCCAUACACACACAUAACUCACACCGUAAACGCAACUGCAUACCUUUAACCAGCAGGGUUAAAGCCGGGGUCGGGAAAAGCAAGUGCACCGUAAUCCACCUUCCUGUCCGCAGUACUGACGCCCUGAGGCGCCGCCGCUGGCCGCGGGUCAGGUGCAGUAGCACUCUGUACAUAGAGCCCACUCAGCAAGGGGGGGGGGGGGGGGGGGCACCACUACCAGAACAUGAGUACGAUCCGUGGGGCGGACGGGGUAGAUUUUGUCACGUGACUUAUGGUUGCUAGGGUAGAUAACGUGUAUACAGUUCAUGGGGUAUAAAUAUAUAAAUAAAUAUAUAUAUGCAUAGUGGGGGAGGGCUGCUUAAAGACGUGGGUCAUGAUGCCGGCGUCUCUGAACGCCGUCAUGGCCUCUCUCCUGGUCUGUGUUCUCUGGUGGGUCCUCCUGUGAGUGUGUAGCAGCACGGACUCCUCCCGUCUUCGACGUCCAUAAGAACCCCCACCACGCGACGCUACACAAUCGACUGUAGAUAAUGCUAACGCGCCCCAACUGCCGCGGAGGGAAAUGUUAUUAAUAACUGGAUAUUAUAGUCCUGCUUUUAAACCCCUGAAAAAUAGUAGCUUAUGCUUUUGUUACUGGUCAUGAGGAUAAAAAACAGCAACAAUGUAAAGUGUGUAAAGGAGUGUUUAAGAGAGGGAGGGAGUGUGUGUGUGUGUGUGUGUGUGUGUGUGUGUGUGUGUGUGUGUGUGUGUGUGUGUGUGCGUGUGCGUGUGUGCGUACGUACGUGCGUCUUUGUGCGCCUGUGCAAUUCUCUUUUUUUAUCUAUCUGCAGUUGAGGAAAAUAUUGAUACAGUGCGUUUGGUGUCGUGUAUUCGUUUCCACUCACCGUAACUGCGCUAGCUUUAGCUUAGCUUAGGUCCCCCGUACACUUAGCUGUGAUUCACUGGUCUGGAACUAACCCACCUCCUCCCUCCCUCCCGCUGGGUUCAGAUCCGGUUGCCAGGUCCAGAGAUGGUGUUAGGACACCCCCCCCCCCCCCCUCCCCCCUUACACUUACUGGAAAGCUCGUUCUAGAAAAUAAGCGUCUGCAGAAAUAAAGAACACCUCACAAACACUAAGGAAGCCUGGUUGGUAAGACCGCCGGCGCCACGCAACCCCUCACCUUGAGGCCUUAAACCUCUCCGCCGCUGGGCUCUCAUUGGCUGAGCCCGCUCCGCUGCUGUGUGAUCAAUUGAAAUGGAUUUGCUGUGAUCCAUUGGUUUUCCUCCCUCCCAAACCCCCUCCCUCCUCAUUAUAGCCCUCUUUGCUUCGCUCUCAGGGUGUGUGUGUGUGUUGUGUGCACUAGCAUGUGUUCUUCAGUCUGGGCCCAUGUAACCGCGGCCAUCCCUAGCGGUCCUAAGGUAGACCAGAGUGUGCACACAUGUCAGUGUGACGUUUGAUCAAUGGGUCGUGCUUAAGGUUGCCAUGUCUGUGUCAGCAACCCUCUUUCCAGGUCCAUGUUUUGAUUUUUGAAUUGUUUUCCAUUCACCGUCGAUGUUAUUGGUAACGGUUGUCCCCGGGUUCCCUGAGGUAUGUCAGUCUCCUUGUAUAGGAAGUGAACAUUAAAAGGAUAUAGUCGUGUUUAUCACAAUAUUACCUUAUUAAUUCCGUGACACUGCAGCUUGGUGGAAUAUAUUAUUGUAUGUGUGGUGCAUGGAUAACUGCUGAAAAUAACAAUAAAACCAUCAAAGUAUUUUGUGUCCUGAGUCGUUCAAUAAGAGGAAACCGUAGAUUCAAUCAUUUUGCUGACACUUUUAUCCCGAGUGAUUGGCAAGUGACAAAAAAAUUGCUGCUCAAACAAGUAAAAAAAUAGGCAAUUGGUCAGUUUAACCUACCCUGUCUCUGAUUAUUCCCUAUUCUUUACAGUGUUUGUUUCCAACACCAAUUAAUCACUUUUCCUUCUCUGUAUCCAUCCACAAUGUAGUAGACAUGAAAAAAGCCUUGAUCGAUAGAUGGUCAAACCAUCAAUAUCCAAAAUGAAGGUAACCUGCAUACCUGCUCAAUUUUAUAUGAUUAUUGUUACUGAGUUUUACCUCAAUUAACAACGUUGGAUGCAUUUGUAUUUCCCCAGUUCCCCAUGUACAGUACAGGGUGAAGUUGGCAUGGUUAUUUUGUCAAAUGUAUUCAAUACCUGUUCCAUGUUUGCGGCAGAGAUUACAAAUAAAGAACAAUUGGAUUUCCCUUCACCCACACACAUUACUAAUGCUAACAUAACAGUUGGUGUAGUAUGAUAGGCUAUCCUAAUAGCCCACCAAUGACCUGUUGUGAAUAGUAUGUUUCUUCUUUCAAAAGCAAUAAAUACUGUAAAACCCUUGCUUGCCUCUAUGAAGUCUGCCAAUAUUUAUAAAAUAACCUUAUUCAUGAAAUAAAAACAAAAAAAACGAU